GCUCUUAUCGUCUAGCG
rnacentral:tRNA from 1 species